UACGGAGGAUCCAAGCGUUAUCCGGAUUUAUUGGGUUUAAAGGGUGCGUAGGCGGCCUGUUAAGUCAGGGGUUGAAAGACGGUAGCGUUAACUAUCGACACGGUGCCCUUGAUACUGAUGGGCUUGAAUAAUACUUGAGGUAGGCGGGAAUGUGACAAGUAGCGGUGAAAUGCAUAGAUAUGUCACAGAACACCAAUUGCGAAGGCAGCUUACUAAGGUAUGAUUGACGCUGAGGCACGAAAGCGUGGGGAUCAAACAGG
rnacentral:rRNA from 1 species